rnacentral:rRNA from 1 species
UACGUAGGGAGCAAGCGUUGUCCGGAUUCACUGGGUGUAAAGGGUGCGCAGGCGGAUUCGUAAGUCAGAGGUGAAAUCUCACGGCUUAACCGUGAAACUGCCUUUGAUACUGCAGAUCUUGAGUUUGGGAGAGGUUGAUGGAAUUCCAGGUGUAGCGGUGAAAUGCGUAGAUAUCUGGAAGAACACCAGUGGCGAAGGCGGUCAACUGGCCCAUAACUGACGCUGAGAUACGAAAGCGUGGGGAGCAAACAGG